GUACCCAAAUGUGAAAUAGUUAUGGGUGAGGACAAAGUCACAAAGUUAAGCCACCAGGUUAGCCGUGACAGCAUCGGGGAUACUGUUCCUGACGGCUUGUAGUCCAUCUUUGUGUGGAAUGUUGGUAUAGAGGCUUCUACAUCCAUAGUGGCUAGGAUGGUGUUUUCAGGAAGAUCACUGGUGGACUGUAGUUUCCUCAGAAAGUCAGUGGUGUCUUGAAGAUAGCUAGGAAUGCUGGUAGCAUAGGGCCUGAGGAGGGAGUCUACAUAGCCAGACAAUCCUGCUGUCAGGGUUCCAGUGCCUGAGAUGAUGGGGCGUCCAGGAUUUCCAGGUUUAUGGAUCUUGGGUAGCAGAUAGUAUCAGAAGGGUAGUCGUGUUAGUCUGGAUCUGUAAAAGCGGUAAAGAGUCCUGUGGCACCUUAUAGACUAACAGACAUACUGGAGUAUAAGUUUUCGUGGGUGAAUACCCGCUUCGUUGGUUGCAUGUAGUCGAAAUUUCCAGAGGCGGGUAUAAAUAUGCAAGCAAGAAUCAGGCUAGAGAUAAUGAGGUUAGUUCAAUCAGGGAGGAUGAAUAAAACAAAAGAUGUGAAUUAAAAAAUUUAUUUUGGGUGCUUGUCUACCAGUAGAUAUUUAUUUCAGAAUGAAAGCGACUAGAGACAAAUUUAGUUACAGUAAACCAAACUCAAAACAGAAGAUGUAGAACUCCUAGAAAUUAUGCAUAUUAACUCUGCUUAAUUUAAAACAGUAACCUCCUAUAUUCGUAUAGUACUUUUAAACGAGCUCGAGUGUUUGCAUAAGAUAUGUGAAACUACUCAUUUUUUUACAUCUCCCAGCUCUCCUCAUCAGAACUUCAGUGUCCGUAAGCACUAAAAUUAAGCUAUUUGCAGUGUCAUUCUAAAACCUGUCUCUUGAUCAAAGAAAAGGUAUUACCUCACCCACCUUAGUCUCUUUAAGACUGAGUUACUCUGUUACAAAGGCAUAGAAAAACAUUUAUUAAAUUUAACAUUUAGUUUAGGAAAAAUCAAAGUUCAGAUAAAAUAAAAUAAAACUUUCAUCUGAAAUCCUGAAGGCAGGUGAAUUUAGCAAGAAAACUAAGCAGAUACUCAAAAUAUCAUCAUAAUGUUGCAUUGCAUUUACAGAAGAAAUAUAUGUAUACAAUUCCUACUGUAAGCAACAAUGAACUAUAAUCAAUUAUUAGAACAAGGAAGAAAAUGCAACUUUGCACCACUGAAUCAGCACAUUAGAUUAACAGUCAACAACAGACUGCUGCAGGAAGGACACUGCAGUGACAUAGUCCUCAAUCUGGCAACGUCACCUUAUGCAUCAGCAAGGCACAAAGCCAGCUAAAGGAAAAAUAAAAAGCUGUUAUCCAAAAUGAGAUGGGAAUCUUACAGGCCAAUAAUUUCAGCUGAUCCAGUGUUAGAAUGUUGUUACCACAUGUACCAUGCAAUCUAAUCAGAUGUGAGUAGUUGCUCAGAUAAACAUAAUUAAGGAAUAUGAUGCACAAAUAACAAAGUCAAUUAAUUCUGAAAAGUUACUGGGGUUGUGCGCGCAUAAGAUGCAGCAAGGCAUGGUGUUCCAAGAAGUUAAAAGUUCCUGUUCUGGUAUGUCAUCAUCUGUAAGCCACUAUAGGACAAGAAAAAACUUUAAAUCUGGAGUCACAUGAUCUGCUGUGGUGAGUCAACUUCUGUUAGUACAUCUAAACCAGUGUCUGGCCACAAGCAAUAACCAAUAAUCUGGAGGCUUCAGUCAAAGGUAAUAAAUCCUUUUAAUAUACCAGCUGGGUUUUGUAAUUUGAUCUAAUUGUGUGCGUGUGUAAAUCCCUACCAAAAGCCUGGGAUUUUAGAAGAUCAAGUACAGAACUAGAAUAAGAUGCCUUAGGACAUUUGAGAGUACCUCCAAAGCUUAUACUAGUGAUCUUUUGAAUGUCUGGCUUACUAGCCUUUUGAGAAUAGUCUAAAAAUAUUAUUUUGUCAAAUAAAAUCAAAGAAAAACAUUACCUGUGCAUGCACAGACCCCUUUUUUGGACAUUUAGACAACAGUAAGUACUAGCAGAUAAAAGUGAAAUAGUUACAGCAAUUUGAAGAGUUAGCAGAAGAUUGAACCAAAGAAGAGGAAAUGGGAGGUCCAGACCAACUGGCUAUACUACGUAGUUUAGCAUACAAUAUAUAUGCUCCUUUUGGUUUGUUUCCGUGCAGGUGAGAGAGGAAGCAAGUGUGUGUCAUAGCAAUAAAUAAAUUAUGUUUUCUGUUUGUUGUUCAUACUAAUUUACUAAUUUACUGCAGCCAGUGCCAAUAGUUCUAAUACAUUUGGUAAGCAAACUCCACACACUACUUCAAGACCAUAUUUCUUGAAUAUUUUUAAACUUUGUUAUUUAUAAUAUCCUGUGUAAAAAGCCCAAACUUGAAAACCAGUUCCAAUGGGACUUGUUAUACUUUAUUUAGAUACCCUUUUUGUUCCUUACUUAGGUGCGUAGGCUUAAGUUCCUCAGUUUUAGCUACAUUUUUCAGCUUUAAUCUUUCUCAGAAACUUCAUUUGAGCUGUUGUCCCGAAACAGGCAUCGCUGGCUGUCCUAGAUAACAGACCAGCAGUCUAGAUGUUUUCUGUCACAAAACCAUGUUCAGCUGCUAACCCUCUGGCUGAGUAAUGAGGCAAAUAGCUGGAAAAAUAUGGAGCUGAGAGCCUUCAACCUCAGCGCAACAGAAUAAUCUCCCUCAGUAUAUGUCAGAGCUUCAAAAUAAAUAAAUAACCAACACCAGAAUUAGAGGAAGUAUCACUGUAAGAUGCAUGCACAAACUAGAAACAGGAAUCUGACCAUCAAUAUGCCCAUCUCAAAAUAACCAGGCAAUGUAUUUAUCCAUCACUUUUGAAAGCCAUGGUGGAUAUUGCCACAAGGAGCAGUUGGACAGUUGGUUGCUAACAAAGAACUCAGGGAUGUAAAGACCAAAAAGAAAAGCUUGCAGUAAGAAGCCUUCAGAACUCUUCAACAUAAACAAGACCUAAAAUUUACAAUAAAUUAUGCAGCACGACUCUAAGUUGUUCAAGUCCAAGCUUACCUUACGCAACAUUCUACUGCACGACACCAGUGAGGCAUCUCAUCAUGAAGGGAACAUAACUGAUGGCAGGAACUGAACACUUUCUCAGCGUCACUGUACCAGCCAGCAUCUGAUAGGAACCCUCCU